rnacentral:rRNA from 1 species
GAUGAACGCUAGCUACAGGCUUAACACAUGCAAGUCGAGCGACCGGCGCACGGGUGAGUAACACGUAUCCAACCUGCCUUUUACUCGGGGAUAGCCUUUCGCAAGAAAGAUUAAUACCCGAUAUAAAGGAUGGGGAUGGGUUCGAUUAGGUUGUUGGUGAGGUAACGGCCCACCAAGCCUUCCAUGGAUAGGGGUUGGGAGGGGAAGGUCCCCCACAUUGGAACUGAGGCACAGUCCAAACUCGUACGGAAGGCAGCAGUGAGGAAUAUUGGUCAAUGGGCGUUAGCCUGAACCAGCCAAGUAGCGUGAAGAAUGAAGGGUUAUGGGUCUUAAACUUCUUUUAUAUAAGAAUAUGUAUUAUAUGAAUAAGGAUCGGCUAACUCCGUGCCAGCAGCCGCGGUAAUUC